GCUCCCAUGGCGUAUAGUGGUCACUGCGCUCGCCUUGCACGCGGGAGACCCGGGUUCGAUUCCCGGCGGGGUCC
rfam:Asian citrus Psyllid, Diaphorina citri - Florida Strain, whole genome shotgun sequence.